GUGGGGAAUAUUGGACAAUGGGCGAAAGCCUGAUCCAGCCAUGCCGCGUGUGUGAAGAAGGUCUUCGGAUUGUAAAGCACUUUAAGUUGGGAGGAAGGGCAGUAAGUUAAUACCUUGCUGUUUUGACGUUACCGACAGAAUAAGCACCGGCUAACUUCGUGCCAGCAGCCGCGGUAAUACGAAGGGUGCAAGCGUUAAUCGGAAUUACUGGGCGUAAAGCGCGCGUAGGUGGUUUUGUAAGUUGGAGGUGAAAUCCCCGGGCUCAACCUGGGAACUGCCUCCAAAACUGCAUGACUAGAGUACGGUAGAGGGUAGUGGAAGUUCCUGUGUAGCGGUGAAAUGCGUAGAUAUAGGAAGGAACACCAGUGGCGAAGGCGACUACCUGGACUGAUACUGACACUGAGGUGCGAAAGCGUGGGGAGCAAACAGGAUUAGAAACCCCAGUAGUCC
rnacentral:rRNA from 1 species